rnacentral:rRNA from 1 species
GAUGAACGCUGGCGGCGUGCCUAAUACAUGCAAGUCGAGCGAAUAGAUGAGGAGCUUGCUCCUCUGACGUUAGCGGCGGACGGGUGAGUAACACGUGGAUAACCUACCUAUAAGACUGGGAUAACUUCGGGAAACCGGAGCUAAUACCGGAUAAUAUAUUGAACCGCAUGGUUCAAUAGUGAAAGACGGUUUUGCUGUCACUUAUAGAUGGAUCCGCGCCGCAUUAGCUAGUUGGUAAGGUAACGGCUUGCCAAGGCAACGAUGCGUAGCCGACCUGAGAGGGUGAUCGGCCACACUGGAACUGAGACACGGUCCAGACUCCUACGGGAGGCAGCAGUAGGGAAUCUUCCGCAAUGGGCGAAAGCCUGACGGAGCAACGCCGCGUGAGUGAUGAAGGUCUUCGGAUCGUAAAACUCUGUUAUUAGGGAAGAACAAAUGUGUAAGUAACUAUGCACGUCUUGACGGUACCUAAUCAGAAAGCCACGGCUAACUACGUG